rnacentral:lncRNA from 1 species
AUCCUUUCUCUUAUAGAGUUGACAAUGUAUUUUUCCAAUUUUUGGUUUCCAUGGAAAGAAACAAUGGAUGCUCAUUUAUGAGAAGUGUCAUUCUGCGGGGGAAAGAUUUUCGUUCGUCAUUUUGAAGCCACUUUAAUUAUCUUGAUGUGCUUCGUUUCUCGGUGAAAAUGUUUCAAUUUGUUGUUUUAAAAACGAGGGUGCAUAGUGUUUCAAAAUAAAGAUUACCAAUUUUUUUGGAGCGAAUUAAAUUGUGGCUUGACAUUCUCGAGUUAUUGUGGCAAAAUAAAAUUACUUUGGUCCUGGUUGUCCCAACUCUAAAACAAUUUGGUUUCAACUUUUAUUCUUAAAUAAAUUUUUUUCGAGAUAUUGGAUUGGAAGAAAAAAUUACUUGGAUGAAAUCUUUUCUCUUGCGGAGUUGACAUCCUUUCUCUUAUAGAGUUGAUAAUGUGUUUUGCCAAUUUUUUGUUCCCACGGAAAGAAAAGAUGGAUGCUCGUUUAUGGGAAUUGUCAUUUUAUGGGGGAAAGAUUGUCGUUCUUCAUUUUGAAACCAUUUUAAUUAUCUUUAUGUGCUUUGUUUUUCGGCGAAAAUGCCUUAGUUCAUUGUUUUAAAAACAAGAGUGCAUGGUGUUCGAAAAUAAAAGUUACCAAGUUUUGUGGAGAGAAUUAAAUUGUGGCUUGACAUUGUCGAGUUAUGGUGGCAAAAUAAAAUUACUUUGGUCCUUCCAGUUGUCCCAACUCUAAAAAAAUUUGAUUUCAACUUUUG